AGUCGGAAUUGCUAGUAAUCGCGGAUCAGCAUGCCGCGGUGAAUACGUUCCCGGGCCUUGUACACACCGCCCGUCACACCAUGAGAGUUGGAAAUACCCGAAGCCUGUGAGCUAACAGUAAUGAGGCAGCAGUCGAAGGUAGAGCCAAUGAUUGGGGUGAAGUCGUAACAAGGUAUC
rnacentral:rRNA from 1 species